rnacentral:lncRNA from 1 species
UUCCAUCAGGUUUCAGAACGAGCAGAAGCCACACGGCGUAAACAUUUCAUGGUUCAGCCACCCUUGGCUGCAAAUACUACUUAGCUUUUGAAAAGGCGGACAGAGUGCCGCUGCUUUCUCUCGAUCGCGUACAUGUUUUCUGAUGCCAAUUGCAGCAGGAGAUAAGCGUGCUUUGUAGUAUCAUGGUUCGGCACUGUCAUCUCUGUCUCAGAAGCGGACAGGUCUACAGUGUUAUCCAUGGUCGCUGGUCAACAACAAAAGGGAGUUGCAGUCUUGCCAAUUCCCAAGAGACUCCUGGCCAAGCUCGAUGUAGUCGAAGGUGACAGAGGGAGGAACAGUAGUGGAUGAGUCUCAUCAUUAUAGCCUAAUAAAAAUCAUGUUCUAUGCCUCCAAUUAGGUGGAAAGUAGAAGGAUACUCCGCUCUGAUCCGUCCCCGUCGUAGUAAUCAUGCAUCGAGCGUUAUUUGGUUCGAGUCCAACAGAAACACGACGUAGCUAAUGACAUCAUGGCCCAAUACGGCCCGGUUUUAGCCCAAACAAAUCGAACGUGAUGAAGGUGGGCCAUCUAAAUCUUAACAUGGAACGAUAUAGGUGGUCCCAC